UACGUAUGGUGCAAGCGUUAUCCGGAUUUACUGGGUGUAAAGGGAGCGCAGGCGGCACGGCAAGCCUGAUGUGAAAGCCCGCGGCCCAACCGCGGGACUGCAUUGGGAACUACCGGGCUGGAGUGCCGGAGAGGUAGGCGGAAUUCCUAGUGUAGCGGUGAAAUGCGUAGAUACUAGGAGGAACACCAGUGGCGAAGGCGGCCUACUGGACGGUGACUGACGCUGAGGCUCGAAAGCGUGGGGAGCAAACAGG
rnacentral:rRNA from 1 species